CAGAUACGGUGUCGAGUAACGUGUAGAGCCCACGUAAAAAUAAUCUGGAUCGAAGUAGGUGAUACUGGAGGGGCUUAUUCUGGUUCUAAUUAAAGCGAUUCAAACUGUUUGACUGCGUUCAAGAUCCUAACCGCUGUCAUUACGAACAGACACACAUUUACCUAAGAAAACUAUAUAUGUUAUUCAAAACAAGUAUUGUAGGACGUAUGACAUGCCAAGCAUGAAACUAAUAGCCUUAGAGUACCAACAAGAACAACCGUAUUAGAUGCGCAGAGCAUUUUAUUCAUAAUCCAGUUCAAAUCUAUGAUGUCGCUAUCGACAUUGGAAUUGCUUCUGAAUUGGCCGUGAAGAAGAACUGUAAGAUAAUGGACAGCUUCAGAAAUAUUCCGCCACUGCCCUUCUCGUUAAAUCUACUCAAAUUUACAUUUUAUUUGAUCUGGUACUUCAUAGUUUUUAUAGAUAUAUUUUAUUAUUUAAUGUGCGGUUGCCACAAUUGUAGUGAAGUAAUACCGGAAAAUGUUCUGGCUGACGAAAUAUUGACAACAACAUCAAUGUGGGACAAUUUCCUGAUCUUAUCAACGGUAGUUAAGGGAAAUUAUUGCUGUGAGCACUGCCACUCUCUCUACAGAGUCCGAAUCUGGAGGAAUUUACCCGUUAUUGGAAACUGGAUUUGUGACAUUACUUUAGCUUUCCAUUUACUAUAAACUGUACGAUAAUAAACAGGAUUAUUUCAUCAUUGCUAAAGGUC